rnacentral:tRNA from 1 species
GGCUUUUUAGUUUAUAAAGAACAUUAAAUUGCAAAUUUAAAAGUAAAUAAAGUGUAUUUAAAGGCUU